GCAAUCUCAAAGUCAAUGAUAUUGUCAUUAUUAAAGAUGACAACCUUCCAAGAAAUCAUUGGCAACUUGGACGAGUGGUGGAGACUGUUCAAGACAGCGAUGGCUUAGUCCGUCGAGUCAAAGUGCAAGUAGGAGAGCGAAAGCCUCAAAGAAAACAAGAUCCCCCCUCCAAACCUUCGGUUAUUGAGAGGCAAUCCAAAAAUUAGUGCUUCUUCUUGAGAAUUAAUUAGAACAGACUACAAUUGCUGUAUGCACACUACUUUAUUGUGUAUGAUGUAGUACAGUUCACCUGUAUACUUCUGAUAGUUCAACGUAAAGUUAUGCAUUUAUUAGAGUCAAGAAAUCCUGUACCAUUCAUUGCCCCCUUGUAUUGUUCAUUCAUUGUAACAGGAUUUGGUGGGAGUGUAAAUGGCAGCUAAUUUGUUUAUGGCAACCGAUACAGUUCUGUCACUUUAUUUUUUUUGUGCCUUUAUUUUGAAGAGCACCGCUCUUAUUCUGCUACUUCCUGCUGUUGCUGACGCUAAACUUUCUGCUCCCGCUUCAGCAUAACGACAUCUCGUCGCUUCGGAGUUGGACUUUCACCGCGAGUUGUGUGUGGAGGAUGGGCUGUUAGCACACUGAGCUUAAACUUAGCGCCCUUGGAAGCAGAAGGAGUUUUCACGGUGUCAGAAUGUCAGUGGAAACGGAGGAGAGAAAUAAAGUUGCACCAGUUUGA